UACGGGGGGGGGCAAGCGUUGUUCGGAAUUACUGGGCGUAAAGGGCUUGUAGGCGGCCAACUAAGUCCGACGUGAAAUCCCCAGCUUAACCUGGGAACUGCGUCGGAUACUGGAUGGCUUGAAUUCGGGAGAGGGAUGCAGAAUUCCAGGUGUAGCGGUGAAAUGCGUAGAUAUCUGGAGGAAUACCGGUGGCGAAGGCGGCAUCCUGGACCGACAUUGACGCUGAGGAGCGAAAAGCUAGGGGGAGCAAACGGG
rnacentral:rRNA from 1 species